rnacentral:rRNA from 1 species
GCAGGUGAUCAUACCAGCGUUAAUGAACCGGAUCCCAUCAGAAAUCCGCAGUUAAGUGUGCUUGGGCUAGAGUAGUACUACGAUGUGUGACCUCCCGGGAAGUCUUAGUGUUGCACCCU